rnacentral:rRNA from 1 species
AUGCAAGUCGAGCGAGGGCUCUUCUCCCGCAAGGGAGGGGAGUUCCUAGCGGCGAACGGGUGAGUAACACGUGGGCAACCUUUCCUAUCGCGGGGGAUAACAGCGGGAAACCGCUGCUAAUACCGCAUGUCGUCAUCGGUCGCAUGGCCGGUGAAAAAAGCAGCAAUGCACGAUGGGGUGGGCCCGCGGCCUAUCAGCUAGUCGGUGGGGUAACGGCCUACCGAGGCGAUGACGGGUAGCUGGUCUGAGAGGACGACCAGCCACACGGGGACUGAGACACGGCCCCGACUCCUACGGGAGGCAGCAGUGAGGAAUCUUCCGCAAUGGGCGAAAGCCUGACGGAGCGACACCGCGUGUGGGAUGAAGUCCUUCGGGAUGUAAACCACUGUUGGAGGGGAAGAUAGUGACGGUACCCUCCGAGAAAGCCCCGGCUAACUACGUGCCAGCAGCCGCGGUAAUACGUAGGGGGCUAGCGUUAUCCACAUUUACUGCGCGUGAAGCGCGUGUAGGCGGCUGGUUAAGCGUGAUGUGAAAUCCUCGGGC